AUGACACCCUCUCGUCCCCUCUCAUCCUCUCCAGGGACAGGCAGCAAGCACGAAUUUCAUGGAGGUGCCAGAAAGCCCCCGACGUUUUCUAACAGGUGGAAAGUAUGCUACCUAGUGCACAUUCAGCGUUCAAAGAAGUUGGCUGAAUACAGAAGCCAGUGGUCAUCAGAGGAAGACGCACCCACAUUAGGCAACCUCUUCCAGUCCCCAGAGUCAACACCGUGUCCCCAAGAACUCUCCGUCAUUUCACAAGAGAAGUUGUGGCCAGGACACAGGGCAAAGAUCUCCAAGACACGGAGAACUUCAUGGAUCCCAGGCACUGCCUCUCCUUUACAAGGAGACCUGGGCGAGCCCCAUGUUUCUAGGCCUCAAUUCCUCAUCUGUAAAAUGAGGGGGUUGAAUUAGUUUCUAAAGCUCCUUCCAGCUCUAAGAUGCUGUGCUAGAAAAUGAGAGAAAUGUGAGCCUUUGGUUGCUAUGAUCUGAAAAUAUUUUGAAUGUGGAGAAUCAAAUUGUACAGCAGCGCAGGAACAAAAUAAUAUGUUAAUGACUAAGAAGAUUGUAUUUAAUCCAAUGGCAAACAGCAGAGCAACUACUGCUGGUGGUGGUGAUGUGUGUGUGUGUGUGUGUGUGUGUGUGUGUGUGUGUGUGUGUGUGUGCCUUCCUUCCUUGAGCUCAAACAUAUAUUUUAAGUCACUGAUAAAGUAAUCCGGCCUCUGGAAGCCUAUCGUACCCAAAUACACACACACACACACACACACACACACACACACGUGCGCGCGCGCGCGCGCGCAUAUACCACUUUAAAAGGGGAGAAGUUCCACCACCGCUGUUUACAUCCUUGUUGUAUUUUGGGUGGCUUUUUUUUUUUUUUAAAGAAAUUUUUGUCCUGGUAAAGGUAUUGGAUUAACAACCCCUGGAGGCCUCUGAUCUCAGAACUGGGACAUGUGGGCGUGGGCUGGGAGCUGGGGGUUUUAUAAGCAUUGCGCUUUUGCACACCAACAGCCCCCUCCUCAGCCGUCACAAUCCGGCCAAGCAGCACGGCCCGGGACCUUCAACCUGGUCGUAGUCAGAUCGGCCACCCCAGAAGCGAGCUCGGGGACCCUACCAGCGGGGGCGGAAAAUGGACGCGCACCUGGGGACGUGUCUGGCGGGCCCGGCGGCAGGAAGGGUUAGGCCCCCAACCUCUCUCUUGCCAGAGGUUCGGGGCCCGG
rnacentral:lncRNA from 1 species